UAUUGAUAUAUAAAUACAUGAUUUAAAGUAGAUAUAUUGUAUUAAAAUAACUAAUCACAUUAUUGUAAAGUAUAGUCGAUAUUUUUGUGUAACGUAACUUUUUACCUUAUGUGUGGUGAUAAACUUUUAUCAUUAUCUCAAUAAAAUUGUCUUUUUAACUUUAAAAAUAAUGACGAAUAAGUUCUUUAGCGCAUGGAUUAAAAUUAAAAAGUUAAUUUUAAUACAG
rnacentral:lncRNA from 1 species